UUCCCAGUUUUGCCGGUAUUCAGCAGACGAGCAAAGAAAAUCUAGGCGAGCAAAGAAAAUAUAGGUAUGUUUCUAUUUUAUCACCUUCUAUUUUGAACUGCAAGUUUUUUUUUCACUGUUGUUGCCUCUGUUUAUUGCUUUCUCUUAAUUAAGGAAUGCAAUGUGUUUGAUGUUAUGCUAUGAUAGUUUACUUUUCCCUCUGUUUUUUAUUUCAAAUGUUGCAUGAUGCUGUUAGCUGCUUAUCUAUUCAAUAAUUACAUCAUUUAGUAUCAUUGUCCUUUGGCUUAUUAAGGUUGUCAUUUUAUAUCUAUUACUUAGUUUUAGCUAUUUUAGGAUGCUUUGAUUCUGUCAUUUUGUGUGCCUUUGGAUUAGCAUUUUGCUUUGUUUAUAGUCAAAUUAGAUUUUGAUUUUUUGUGUUUCAAAAUGAAAAAAAAAAGAAAAUUUAGUACAGGUUUUAGAUUGAUAGAUGAAAUGUUUGAUGAUUCCCCUGAUCUAAGAAUGUUGGAAAGAAACAAAAAGACAAACUUAAAUAUGCUGACUUAAAUAAGCUUCAAUUGUUCACACCAAGCACAAAGUUGGUACUUGAAGAAAUUGCUGGAGCCAGUUCUUACAAAGACAGCCAGACAUCUGCAACCAGUGGAGCAAAACGAAGCCUUGAGUUUCCAGAAGAUUUACCAGCAGACACACAUGCUAAACAUCCAACAAAGGCUCCUGAAGAGUUUGCCAAAGAACUUGCAAAACUGUAUGGUCCACCUGCAAAUAUCAAAGACAGUCCAACCAAGAAAGCUAAAGCAAAGGAAGACUAAUAUGGCCUAUUUCUGUACUUUUGUUAAAUCUUUUGUUCAUUGCCUUUCCUCCAUUGCUUAGACAAUAUCUUUUGAAUUAUAUUAUGAUCCAUUAUUCUUUUGACUUAAAAA